AGGUCGACGGGAGCCACGAGGGUAGUGGGGGUGGCCAGAAGAAUCAACAGCCUGAAGACCCGGCUUGUGCGGCGGCGGCUGCCGAGGCUGCGCUGCCCCACCGUGGGAAGCGACGUGCCUGGCGCGUUAAAUUCAUGCCGGAGCAGGUGCGGGUGAUGGAAAGCAUUUUUGAGCAAACUCGGUACCUGGACAGGCUCACAAGAAGCCAACUUGCAAGAUCCAUAGGUGAGACUGAAGCUAGAGUGCAGAUGUGGUUUAAGAAUCGGAGGGCCAAGUACAAGCGAAAUCAGAGCACCUCGUGCCCAGGAACGCGCCAGCUGACCCAGACCACCCUGCCAUCGUAAUGAUGGAGGGGCCCUAGAAUCCUAGUUCCAGAGCUGGAGCACAGAUGGAUGCUUCUGGCGCCAUGGGCCCAUGGGCCACCCAUGCUGCCCAUGCCACCCUUAUCCCCUCCACACUUGUGUUAUCA